AGAGACAGCAGUAGCCGCGGUAAUACGAAGGGUGCAAGCGUUACUCGGAAUUACUGGGCGUAAAGCGUGCGUAGGUGGUGGUUUAAGUCCGUUGUGAAAGCCCUGGGCUCAACCUGGGAAUUGCAUCCAAAACUGGUGAGCUAGAGUACGGUAGAGGGUAGUGGAAUUUCCUGUGUAGCGGUGAAAUGCGUAGAUAUAGGAAGGAACACCAGUGGCGAAGGCGACUACCUGGACUGAUACUGACACUGAGGUGCGAAAGCGUGGGGAGCAAACAGGAUUAGAUACCCCAGUAGUCCCUGUCUCUUAUAC
rnacentral:rRNA from 1 species